rnacentral:rRNA from 1 species
CGCUGUAAACGAUGAUCACUCGAUGUUGGCGAUAUACUGUCAGCGUCUAAGCGAAAGCAUUAAGUGAUCCACCUGGGGAGUACGAUCGCAAGAUUGAAACUCAAAGGAAUUGACGGGGGCCCGCACAAGCGGAGGAGCAUGUGGUUUAAUUCGAUGAUACGCGAGGAACCUUACCUGGGCUAGAACGCUGGGCGACCGUCCGGGAAACCGGAUUUCUCUUCGGAGCGGCCAGCGAGGUGCUGCAUGGUUGUCGUCAGCUCGUGCCGUGAGGUGUCGGGUUAAGUCCCAUAACGAGCGCAACCCCUAUCAUUAGUUGCCAUCAGGUCAUGCUGGGAACUCUAGUGAAACUGCCUACGCAAGUAGUGAGGAAGGUGGGGAUGACGUCAAAUCAGCACGGCCCUUACGUCCAGGGCUACACACGUGCUACAAUGGCCGGUACAAAGGGCAGCUACCUGGUGACAGGAUGCAAAUCUCUAAAACCGGUCUCAGUUCGGAUCGAAGUCUGCAACUCGACUUCGUGAAGUUGGAUUCGCUAGUAA